CCUACGGGAGGCAGCAGUAGGGAAUCUUCCGCAAUGGACGAAAGUCUGACGGAGCAACGCCGCGUGAGCGAUGAAGGCCUUCGGGUCGUAAAGCUCUGUUGUCAGGGAAGAACAAGUAUCGGAGUAACUGCCGAUACCUUGACGGUACCUAACCAGAAAGCCACGGCUAACUACGUGCCAGCAGCCGCGGUAAUACGUAGGUGGCAAGCGUUGUCCGGAAUUAUUGGGCGUAAAGCGCGCGCAGGCGGUCCUUUAAGUCUGAUGUGAAAGCCCACGGCUCAACCGGGGAGGGUCAUUGGAAACUGGGGAACUUGAGUGCAGAAGAGGAGAGCGGAAUUCCACGUGUAGCGGUGAAAUGCGUAGAGAUGUGGAGGAACACCAGUGGCGAAGGCGGCUCUCUGGUCUGUAACUGACGCUGAGGCGCGAAAGCGUGGGGAGCGAACAGGAUUAGAUACCCUGGUAGUCCACGCCGUAAACGAUGAGUGCUAAGUGUUAGAGGGUUUCCGCCCUUUAGUGCUGCAGCAAACGCAUUAAGCACUCCGCCUGGGGAGUACGGCCGCAAGGCUGAAACUUAAAGGAAUUGACGG
rnacentral:rRNA from 1 species